UGGCGAACGGGUGAGUAACACGUGGGUGAUCUGCCCUGCACUCUGGGAUAAGCCUGGGAAACUGGGUCUAAUACCGGAUAGGACCAUGCUUUAGUGUGUGUGGUGGAAAGUUUUUUCGGUGUAGGAUGAGCCCGCGGCCUAUCAGCUUGUUGGUGGGGUAAUGGCCUACCAGGGCGGCGACGGGUAGCCGGACUGAGAGGUUGGUCGGCCACAUUGGGACUGAGAUACGGCCCAG
rnacentral:rRNA from 1 species